AUAACACUUUCAUUUCACUUUUCAAGUUCUCUGUACACAUUGAUUAUGUUUAACGAGACCGUGUGCUUUCUUCAAUAACAUUUAGACCUGACAGUGUUCUGUGUGCACUAAAACAUGGAGACCCGGGUGGAGACCUGGCCUGGCCUCUGUCUGGAAAACUCCAUGCCUGCAUCUGAAUGUCAGUGCUCAGAUGUCUGGGGUCUGGGGCUGAGGUGGGCUUCUCUGGGGAACCGUGCUCUUCUCUGAGUGGGGUUCCAUGGCCCUCCCAGGGGUCAAUGCUACGGUAGAGCUCUUAGCCUUUUCUCCCUGCUAGGUUCACCUUCCUGGGCUCCUGAAGACUCCUCAGGUGGGCUACCUGGUAAUUAUUGCAAUUUUCCAGCACAUUCAGGUUGAGUAGGGAGGCAGGUUCACCUGGUGAAUUGAUUCCAGGGCACAUGGAUCAGGCAAAGGCCAAUGGGCAGCAGGUGAGGUUGCUGCUGUGACCUUCCAGUCGACUCUCCUCUGAAGAGAACAGAGCUGCCCCUCAUCUUUCAGCCCAGCUCUCCUGUUUUCUCAGCACCUCAGCGGAACAAGAAAGACAGAGCCUGCCAGAACCAAGAGACCAGACCUGCCCCUCGUCUCCCAGCCCUGUGUCUGGUGUGUUUUCUCAGCACAUCAGUGAACCAAGAAAGGACUGAGCCUGCGAGAACUAAGGACACUGGGCUGCACUCUAAGAAAUUCCUGGAUCUCCCCUGGAUCCUGACCAUCAUGUGCCCAGAGAAAUUGUCGGCCGUCCCUACUCAGCAGAGACCAGACCUGCCCCUUGUCUCCCAGCCCUGCGCCUGGUGUGUUUUCUCAAUACCUCAGUGGAACGAGAAAGGACCGAGCCUGCCAGAACCAAGGGGGUUACAGGAACCCACUCAUUUCCACCUUAGAAGCCCAACCAGCAGAAACCUGGGGUCCUAACCAAGGGUCGUUGGACGCCAGGUCCUGGGUCUGGGGAGGUGGUGUCACCUUGGAGAGAGUGGAAGUGUGCCCCACGUGCAGAGUCUGGGGAUUGUGUGGGUCUCACCCCAUCCACACGGGUUACAUAUCUACUCUUUACCUGCAGUGUGUCUGUCAGGGAUUCCCAACAUCUGAAUUGAGGGUGUUGCCCUGAUUAACCUGUGGUCCUUUUCCUUCUCUUCGCUUUGUCAUGUUCACAUGAGGUCAGGCACCUUUGAGUGGGUUGCUGCUCUGUGUUCUGAGUGUAAACCUUUGGUGGUGUCAUAUUAAUAUCAUAGCAUAUCCCAUAUCUAAUUCAUAGAGAUACCACUGUCUGGUUUCCCCUCCACCAAGCUC
rnacentral:lncRNA from 1 species